GGUAGUCCACGCCGUAAACGAUGAUGACUCGACCUUUGGUGGGGUUACACUCGCUGGGGGUCACAGCUAACGCGAUAAGUCAUCCGCCUGGGAAGUACGAGCGCAAGCUUAAAACUCAAAGGAAUUGACGGGGACCCGCACAAGCAGCGGAGCGUGUGGUUUAAUUCGACGCAACGCGCACAACCUCACCUAGAUUUGACAUGGAGCUGCAAGCCUGUGAAAACGGGUCGCCUUCGAGGGUGCUCCACCGGUGCUGCAUGGCUGUCGUCAGCUCGUGUCGUGAGAUGUUGGGUUAAG
rnacentral:rRNA from 1 species